GACGAACGCUGGCGGCGUGCUUAACACAUGCAAGUCGAACGGAAAGGCCCUGCUUUUGUGGGGUGCUCGAGUGGCUAACGGGUGAGUAACACGUGAGUAACCUGCCCUUGACUUUGGGAUAACUUCAGGAAACUGGGGCUAAUACCGGAUAGGAGCUCCUGCUGCAUGGUGGGGGUUGGAAAGUUUCGGCGGUUGGGGAUGGACUCGCGGCUUAUCAGCUUGUUGGUGGGGUAGUGGCUUACCAAGGCUUUGACGGGUAGCCGGCCUGAGAGGGUGACCGGCCACAUUGGGACUGAGAUACGGCCCAGACUCAUACGGGAGGCAGCAGUGGGGAAUAUUGCACAAUGGGAGGAAGCCUAAUGCAGCAACGCCGCGUGCGGGAUGACGGCCGUCGGGUUGUGAACCGCUUUCGCCUGUGACGAAGCGUGAGUGACGGUAAUGGGUAAAGAAGCACCGGCUAACUACGUG
rnacentral:rRNA from 1 species